AUGACGAUAAAUAAGAGUCAAGGGCAGUCUCUAAAACAUGUGGGGCUAUAUUUACCAAAGCAGGUGUUCACACAUGGCCAACUCUAUGUUGCGGUAUCAAGAGUCACAAGUAGAGAUGGACUUAAAGUUCUAAUUUCAGAUGAAGAAUCUAAGGAAAAUAAUUCAGCAAAAAAUAUUGUGUACAAGGAGAUCCUUUAG
rnacentral:rRNA from 1 species